rnacentral:rRNA from 1 species
UUUCGCCUACGGGGGGCAGCAGUGGGGAAUAUUGCACAAUGGGGGAAACCCUGAUGCAGCGACGCCGCGUGAGUGAAGAAGUAUUUCGGUAUGUAAAGCUCUAUCAGCAAGGAAGAAAAUGACGGUACCUGACUAAGAAGCCCCGGCUAACUACGUGCCAGCAGCCGCGGUAAUACGUAGGGGGCAAGCGUUAUCCGGAUUUACUGGGUGUAAAGGGAGCGUAGGUGGCAGGGCAAGUCAGAUGUGAAAACCCGGGGCUCAACC